rnacentral:ncRNA from 1 species
GUCUGUGAAGAUGCGGACUACCUGCACUUGGCACUUAGAUAGAAAGAGCCUAUGAAGCUUUACUAUUACCUGUGAUUGGCUUUGGUCCUUUCACGUACAACUUAGGUGGAGGGCGAAUAAGGCCUCCUUUUGAGGGGGCCGAGCCAUCCGUGAGAUACCACUUUGGAAGAAUUAGAAUUCCAACCUUGAGUUAGGCCCUACUGGCCAAUAGACAGUUUCCGGUAGGCAGUUUCUAUGGGACAUAGGCCUCCCAAAAUGUAACAGAGGCCUGCAAAGGUUUCCUCGAGCUGGACAGAUGUUGGCCAUUGAGUGCAAAGGAAGAAAGGAAGCUUGACUGCAAGACCCACCCGUCGAGCAAGGACGAAAGUCGGCCUUAAUGAUCCGACGAUGCCGAGUGGAAGUGUCGUCGCUCAACGCAUAAAAGUUACUCUAAGGAUAACAUGUUAAUCUCCCCAAGAGUUCACAUCGACAGGAAGGUUUGGCGUCUCAAUGUCGGCUUUUCGCCACCUAGGGCGGUAGUACAUUCCAUAGGUUGGGUUGUUCGCCCAUUAAAACGGCAUGUGAGCUGGUUUCAGAAUGGCAUGUGACAGCCUAGUCCAUAUCCGGUGUGGUUGUUAGAGCAUUGAAAUAACCUUUCCCUAGUACAAUGGACCGAGAAGAGCAUUGGUGUACCAAUUAGCAUGCCCACAAUAAAUGUUGGGUAGGCAGGUACAGAGUGGAUAACUCUCGAAAGCAUCUAAGCCCACCCCAAGAUGAGUGUUAUUCUUCCUUCCCCAAGCCUCUGGUUACAUGGAUGAGACAAUGACGGGUCCAUCUCGUGUUUGUGUCUAGGAAACAUAGCUGAAAAUGGUUGAAAUCAAGUAGAUUUAUAAAUGCAUGA